GUGCCAGCAGCCGCGGUAAUUCCAGCUCCAAUAGCGUAUAUUAAAGUUGUUGCAGUUAGAACGCUCGUAGUCGGAUUUCGGGGCGGUCCGACCGGUCUGCCGAUGGGUACGCACUGGUCGGAGCGUCCUUCCUGCCGGAGACCGUGCCUACUCUUAACUGAGCGGGGGCGGGAGACGGCACUUUUACUUUGAAAAAAUCAGAGUGUUUCAAGCAGGCAGCUCGCUCUUGCAUGGAUUAGCAUGGGAUAAUGAAAUAGGACUUUGGUGCUAUUUUGUUGGUUUCGAACACCGAAGUAAUGAUGAGAAGGGACAGUCAGGGGCACUCGUAUUCCGCCGAGAGAGGUGAAAUUCUCAGACCAGCGGAAGACGAACCACUGCGAAAGCAUUUGCCAGGGAUGUUUUCACUGAUCAAGAACGAAAGUUAGGGGAUCGAAGACGAUCAGAUACCGUCGUAGUCUUAACCAUAAACCAUGCCGACUAGGGAUUGGAGGAUGUUCACUGAUUGACUCCUUCAGCACCUUACGGGAAACUAAAGUCUUUGGGUUCCGGGGGGAGUAUGGUCGCAAGGCUGAAACUUAAAGGAAUUGACGGAAGGGCGCCACCAGGUGUGGAGCCUGCGGCUUAAUUUGACUCAACACGGGGAAACUUACCAGGUCCAGACAUUGUGAGGAUUGACAGAUUGAGAGCUCUUUCUUGAUUUAAUGGGUGGUGGUGCAUGGCCGUUCUUAGUUGGUGGAGUGAUUUGUCUGGUUAAUUCCGUUAACGAACGAGACCUUAGCCUGCUAAAUAGUGACGCGAACUCUUUGUUCGCGGGCCACUUCUUAGAGGGACAACUUGUCUUCAACAAGUGGAAGUUUGAGGCAAUAACAGGUCUGUGAUGCCC
rnacentral:rRNA from 1 species